GAUGAAGACGCAGCGAAAUGCGAUAAGUAAUGUGAAUUGCAGAAUCCAGUGAAUCAUCGAAUCUUUGAACGCACAUUGCGCCCGCCAGCAUUCUGGCGGGCAUGCCUGUUCGAGCGUCAUUUCAACCCUCGACCUCCCCUUGGGGAGGUCGGCGUUGGGGACCGGCAGCACACCGCCGGCCCUGAAAUGGAGUGGCGGCCCGUCCGCGGCGACCUCUGCGUAGUAAUACAGCUCGCACCGGAACCCCGACGCGGCCACGCCGUAAAACACCCAACUUCUGAACGUUGACCUCGAAUCAGGUAGGACUACCCGCUGAACUUAAGCAUAUCAAUAAGCGGAGGA
rnacentral:misc_RNA from 1 species